GGGUGGCAAAUCGUCCUUGCGGUCGCGUUGAUGCAACGCGACGAUUAAAUCACGUUUUGGGUUCAGCCUGCUUCGGACUGCAAGAGACCAAGCGCGCCACUAAGCUCCGUAUUUUUUCUUUCCCCUCGGGAAUCAGUGAGAAUUUGGCCCGGCUCCGGCCCACCCAGAGCAGGGAGGCGAUGGUGGAAGCAGCCCCGGCGCCGGAGCUCUCCGGUGGGGCUCAGGUGCACGGAGACCACGGCGGGACGGCGACGAGACGGCCGAGCGAUGCUGAAGUUGGCCCCCGGCUCGCCUUAGCCGCUCGUCCCAUGUCUGCAAAACCCCUGGAAAAACACGGUUUCUGGCCCAGCCGGCGGCCAGCGGCGCUCGCCCCCCGCGAGCCCAGGGCAUCUCCGCCCGCGCCGCCGGGGCCCCCGGGCGCGCCCGCCCCCGCGGCGGCCAUCCCCGUGCCCUCGGGCGCCGCGGCCGAGAGAGGCCCCCGAGAAAGGGGGCGCCCCGACGCCGCGGUGACAGCCCGCGCGCCCCCGCGUCCCGCCUUACCUGGGCCGCCCGCGCCGCCGGGACACGCGUGGGCGCGCGCGGGGCGUGGGCGCGCGUGGGGGGGCCGCGCCGCGCCGCUGCUCGGCGGAGGCUGCGGCAGGAAAUACCAACAGCCUGAUCCAAGCGCGCUGGGGAGGGAGGAGAAGGGAGGAAAAAAUAGCAGGGAAGGAGGAAAAAAAAAAAGAGGAAAGGGGAGGAAAAAAAUAUAGCGAGCGAAAGGGAGCGCGCAAAACCCGGGCGGGAUCGGCGCGGAGCGGGCGCCUCCCCGCGCCGCCGCCGCUUUGGCGGAUAAUUUACAUUUUUGCUUCCCCCGCCUUCCUUUCUGCCUUUCCCCCCACACGGGGAGAGGCUGGAACCAAGACAAGACCCGGAGUACAAAUAAUUAUAUAUAUAUAUAUAUUUUUUUUUAACUCCCCCUGCAGCUGGAGGGCCCUGCUCCGGGGUGACUCUGACCCUCCGCCUUACAAAUUACGUUGCAGCGGUUGGGCCACUGCUAUUUUUGCUCCUUUCCUUAAGUUUCAGUACCAGGCAAGACCACAAACAGGGCACAAACUAGACUACAGACAAACGGCGCAAGCCAAAGCGCCCCACGCUGUUAGGACACGCGGUACCCACCACACGUAACCACAGCGGGACGAUGGACCAUCAUCAUCAUCAUCUGAAGGCCAACAUCCGACUGGAGGCAACGCCUUGGUUGCCUUGUGCAGGGACCAAGCCCGGGCACAAACAGCUGCUUUCAGGAUGAGAGAGCAAACACAGAAAACCAACCCACAGAAGGGCCUCACAACAGACCUCAUCCCAGAGAGGCUUCGUGUGCUCUUAGAUACCUGGUGUUUAGAGAUGUCCUGGACAGAUCUCCCGUCCCACCCUGUCCUGCAUCCCAGCUAGUGCUGUCUGCUGUCUUGGGGGGCUCGUCCUCACGAGUCCUGCUGAGGCCGGUGCUGGGAAGCACGGCUGCUCUUCCACGGACCCUGGCCUGCCUCCAGCUGGACCCCAGCUGAAUCAGAUGGCAACAUCAAAACCACAUGGACAGUCGACAUGUUUCUGAAUGAAGAUCUGAAUGAAGAUCAGAGAUUUCCUCAACAGCUAAUGGGAAAUGUUCGUAUGAAGUCAGACUUCGAAAACUCCUUUUUUUUUUUUUUAGUUUAUUUUCCCUCCUGCCCCAGACAAACUUUGGAGCAGAUGCUAACAAGCGCCGAGUGCUGUUGCGGUGCAGGAAACAGUACAGUGAGGACAAACACAAACGUGUGUGUGAGUGGUCUCUUUAUAAAAGAUUUGGUUAUCAGACUCCUGGAGAGAGACAUGCAGAUCUGCCUAUAGGCCAGUAUCUUGCUCUGGACAGAUAUUUGUCUGUGGCUUGGUUGCAAGAUACUCUGUCCAUACAUAAACCUGGAUCAAGGUAGGCAGAAAGCCACAGCUUACUCCUGAUCUGCUCCUUACUCCGUCCUCCCCGGAGAGGGGCGUUUGGACUCGCGGCUGGAUCUGAUUACUGACACCCGACGUAUGCGGCUGGUCCGUAAGUCCGGCCGGACAGCCGCACAGCCGACGUAGGGGUAGCUUUGCAAUAGCGCUAUAUCACAUUCCCAAGCUCGCGGCUGCUUCAGAUCACCCGGGAUGUCUCUGCUCUCAGCCUUGACCCCUUUUAUUUCGCCAGACUCCUGACUCACGCUGGCAGCCAGCUCAUCUCCAUUAAAUGAUGGGCCCUCUCACAGCUCCCUCCUUGCGCCGCUAUCCCAAAUCCAUCUUCUGUCUCAUCCACAAGCAGGCAAAAAGUCUCCUUGACUGUGGCAAUUAAUUUUAAGGCCCCUUUGUUACUGCUGCUGCCUCCCACGACCGGGACAACGGCGUUGCCGCAGGGGCUCAGAGGUGAGGAGGAAGACAGGGAGCGCAGUAAUAUUUUUCCAUUACCGCUGCAGGGCAGCUGGCUCCCUGGUUCGGCUGCCCAGAGGGACGUCAGUGUUUUUCUCCCCUUCUGCUUCAAACAGCGAGACCUGUCCCAUGUUCCUGCCACGUGUUACAAACGUAGAAGUAAAACACAAAAGAGCAGAACCUGAAAGAAAAACAGUUUUCCGCAGUGACUUUCUGCAGGACGUUGGGCCGGCUCUAGCUCGCUCCCAUCGAGUCGGCUCUGCAGCAAACCUCUGCGCCGCUCCCAGCUCUAUCACGUCCUGCUGAAACUGGGCGAAACGCAGCGGUUUUGGGCUCAGCCGGAAAGCUCGCAGGAGGCCUCUUUCAGCAGGAUGAAGUCCAGCAUAUACAUGGGUUUGGAAAAAACUCUGCUUGCAGUGCUGGGAAAUUCUUUUUAUUGGGCAGCUAAAGUAUAACAGGCUGGAUCUGUCCUGGAGCAACGGCAUUUUGUGCCGGCUGUAGGUUUGGAGGUUAUUACAUAAUUUUUUUCUUUACGUAAGAAGGUUGUGCUGAGGUUGGGUCACUGGAUUACGGCAGAUAAAUUGCUAAAUUUCAGGCAUCCUUGGGCCAAACCGUUCUCUCUUCCUCCCUCAAAUGCAUCUGCCCCUUCUCUAUGCCCAGUUUCUCCCCAAACAGAUGUUAUUUUUCAUGAAGGUACCAGGCUAUCAUCUGUGCUGCAUACUAAAUAGCUGUGAAAAGCGUGUGCUGCCAGUGGCUGCAAGGCUCGGAGCCCAAAGGGGAGACAGGAGGGUCCGGGUGGACCUACGGUCCUUGCCAGCCCUGCUCCCUGGUCCCGGCCCUGCUGCGGGACUGCGCCGUGCAAACCGUUCACCUCAGUAUUGCAUCACUUCUGCAGCGAAAAACAGUUACUGACUUGUUCUUUUUCAUGCCUUUUUUUUUUUUUUUUUUGUGGGUUUGUUUGAUUUCCCUUCAAACACCAAGGAGCUUCUCAAAAUAUCCAGGAGUUUUCAGAACAGAUCUUAGUUUCUAAAACUAAAAGGACCUGCAAAAAAGAAGAGUUCCCUUUAGGGAAGAGAAAAAACAGCCAGAAAAGGUGUCUCCAUUUCUGCAUUUUGGCUGUCAGCUGCCCAGGAAAAAAAAAAACACAAGGUCUUGCUGUGCCUUGCUGAGCCAGAGAACCAGUGAGAUGUACCCUGCCUAACUUCACCCCUAUAAGCAAUAAUUUCCCUUUCCCUGUCCCCUCUUUUUUAACAGAAAAGAAGAAGCGUAAAUAGCCAGCUGUGAGCUCGGCUAUGCGGGAGACAUUUUUUCCCCGGUUAUCCCCAUCUAAUUAAGUGGCCAGCGUUAGGCCAGGGUGGACAUGCUGAUUCUAGAUGGAGACUGGAUUUUGUCGGGAUAGCUUAAAGAACUCACGCAGCGACAUAAGGCAGAAAGGGCAGGCCUUGAUUGUAGACAAGGAGCGGCCUCCUGGGAGGUAUUGCUGCUUUAAUUACAGAAGCUUGAAAAUCCUCCCGUAUCCCUCCCUCUUAUAACUGUCCCAUGUCGAUGAGCCAGAGUUGAAGAGGGACUGAACUGAUUGCUGUGAUGCACCAUAUCCCCCGUCCUUUGGAGGGGCACCAGCUCUGCUGACAACUAUUAUAGCUGUAACACCGGCAAACAUUAACCAUUUCCCUGCUCAGCAAAGCACAAGGACCCGCAAUGACAUUUCCCCGGACACAGUGCUUGCAGGGCUGUCCUCGGCAAUAAGCCACAUUCACUACCCAAAGGGAGAGUCCUAACUCUGCAAAACGUGCUGACAGGAGUAACUCUGAUGGCCCAUAACAAAUCUCCUUGAAGAAACAGGACCCCUGGCAAGAUGCAAAUGUACACGGGUGUGAGAGUUUGGAGAGAAAAUUAAGCAGUCCCAUGGUACUUCAUGCCUCCUGCUCCCAUGGUGGUUGUUCUUGUGGUCACUUAAAAAAUAAAAGGGUCCAGCCACGAUGAGGCAUGCCAAGCUGGUUCCUCCCCAAAUGCCAAACUCCAUGAAAAUCUAGCAAUUCUGGGUGGCCCCAAAGAUGUUUUAUCUGAGGACGUUCAGACUCCAGUGUGCAUUUACCUCUUCUUUCCCUUUCACACUCCAUUGCCAGUGAUUAACGGCUGCACUCAAGGUGGAUGAAAGCCGAAGCAGAUGUUCUCCACUUGCAACGCCACUCCAAUAACCCUGAACUAAAGGCUGAAAUCCUCAGCAGAUUAGGGGCUGAAAUAAAAAAAAAAAAAAAGGAUAAAUAAUGUGGGGAAUAGAGGUGAACACAGUCGCAUAGGGUUUAUUUCAGUGGAGGACAAUGCACAGAGGCUACAUAAUCUCUGCACUCAUCUGCCAAAGGAAAGAUUAAAUAGCAAAACGCCAGCGCUGAGACCUGCAGCUCUCAUCAGCUGCACGGUCUCAGUUUGACCACGUGUCUUUCUAGCACAGUGUCCCUGUAGAGACUCUGUUAUGUUGUGAAAAUGGGGUUUUCCAGGUUAUUUUCUUUAUAUUGAAGCAACAACAAUGAAGGUUACAGCCUGGUCUCCAGUAGCAAAGAGACUGGCUUCAGCAGGGCGUUUAGUCUCCCUUUGAGGGUUUUUCCGCCCUGGCUAUAUUAAUGAUGGAUUUUCUUCCAAUGCUCAUCUUGGAGGCAGGUCCCCCAAACCUCUCUGCUUUAUAGUAUCAGAUCAAGUCUCGUAAGACACUUAAAAUAGGAAAAAUGCCAGGCCCCGAGCACAUGAGGGCCCCUUGCGGCACCGUCCCUGCGCCGUCCCUGGCUCUUCAGUGACACCUUCUGGUGUCACCCAGCCCAUCCUGGGUUUUCUGCAGCUGGUUUUUACAUAUGCACAGGAGCCAAGUGAGAAACAUCAAGCCAAACUGCAAACAUCUGAUUUUCCUCUGUGCAUACAGCGUCUCAGAUAAAUUUACCUUUGAUGAUGUUGCGCUCCAUCAAUGAUCAGUUUGGUACUUCCCACCAUUGUCAGCCUGCCUGGCCCCUGGCCUGUUUAUUAAUUUAUUAAUCUAACUUUUUAAAGCCAAGGCCGGCUCCUGAAGCAGCAGUUCUCUGUGCCCUGUGCAGCCACUGGCUGUUUUGCAAAAAUGAAAAAAAAUAAAAAGGAUUUAAAACCUGCUCUGGUGUGGCAAUGAGUGACGUUGCCCCACGUCACUCCCUCUGCGCGCUGACCCAGCUCUGACGAGCUCCACAUUAAAAAAACACGUAAUGAUAACACAAACCGAUUCCACGGAAAAAUGCAGCUGUGGGUCAUUGCUACGAGUUACCCUGGCUGGCCAGAUAGUCUCAGACGCGCAUCAUUGUAAAACAUCAGGACGGAUGUUGCAUGCCUUAAGCCCAAGUGCCGCAGUUGAGCCAAGUGCCUUGGCACGUGUUUCAGUGAAGCAGGGCUGAGGUGAGGCAGCACCCUGCCCGUAGGCGAGUUAUGCCUUAACGCUGCUCGUUUCAGCAAAGGCUAACGCACCGAUUCCUGGAAGUCACAACUGGAGCAACAUAUAAAAAAUGCAUGUUAAAAAAAAAAAAGAAAACAAAGAGGAAGCCUUCAAAGACAUUUUCAUUGCUUAUAUCUUUGUAUCUUUAUCUGAUACCGCAGCUUCUCGCAUCCCCUCAGGUGGGCUCCCACCUCCGCCUGGCUGGCCAAGAGGGACCUGCUUUGGGGUCUCUCUCUGUAACUAAACCUUGAGAUCACUAAGGGAAAAGAUAAAUGAGACCCUGGUGCUACCAGCAACACGAUGAGACACGGUCGUCAGAAGGGAUGGCUAACAGCAGCGGCUUUUCAAGGAUAAACCCUUGCACUUCCGAGAGAUGCGUCUUGUCAACCACCAGCUCUUUCAAGAGGCUUCAAGAUAAGUGACUGCAAAGCAAAUUAAUGGUGAACAUGAUGUAGUCGCUUCACGCUCCCGAUAUUGAUUCCAUUUCAUUAGCCAGGUAAGCGCUUUAUAUUCCCGCAGAGGGACCUUCCUCUUUCCUUGGGUAUCGGAUUAUAAGAAUAAUAAUGCCCUUAAAGAGUCCACCCCGUGGCAGCCUACCUCCAGGUGUAUUUCAAGGACUAUACCUUCAUGUCAUCUUUUUUUCAGGCGGGAUUUUACAGAGAUUUAGUGCUGAGAACGAACGUGACCGCAGGAUUUCUGCGGGCUCAAAGCACCGGGUCAGUGCUGGUUGCUCCUUAGCCAAUUCCCCAAAAAGCAGAUAUAUUAGCAUCAUUCUCAGGCAAUCCAGGUACCGCACUCAGCACAAGCUGGUAUUGUUACACUGCACAGAGUGGUAUCACGUAGAUGGCUUUAACCAAAGUAAUACAGUUUGCCACGCAGCAAUGACGAAUGAAAACCCAGGAAGAAAAUGCCCCUGACUGUGGAAACUGAUUUAGGUCUAUAGGUAACCUGAAGUUAAUAACACGUGUUAAGAAAGGAUAUAUUGGUCAAGAAGAUUUGGGGUAAAUAGAGAUAAAACUUCUUUUUUUUUCUCUUCCCUGAAUUAUUUGCAAAAUGAGCACAAAUUUGCAAAAUGUUUCACUGAUUUUCAAUUUGCGUUUUUUGCUGCAAAAGAUUCACCCACUUCUAGCCCUGACCAGAAUGGAAAUGACAGAGUAACUGCAGGAAAUUGCUUCUUUCUGCCGCUUUCCCCAGGGAGUGGUUUUACACACACAGAAACGAGCACAUUGUUCGAAGGUGGAAACAGUCCAAGAACCAAAGGGAGUAAAAUACACCCGGAGAGACUGAACCCGCUCCUGUAUUUCCCAAAGGGCACAUGGUGCCCUAGUGCGUGGCUCCCACCGUCUCCGGGGGAAAUCACAGCUCUGCACUGGGGUCUCUGGGACGAGCACGCCUGGGCCGCGACGGCACCAAGCUAUAAAUCAGUGUGGCCGCGCAAAAGCUCACAGCCUUCCCGUGGCACGGACGGGAGCGUGGAAACAACAGGGUAACAAAGGCAGAGCUUAAGGGAGAAUAAAACAGAAACAACAAUAUUAUCUGCAUUCAGUGCCUGGAGAAUUGACUGUAAGCAAGGCAGAGGCUUUUAAAGAAUGGAUAAUCCAAGCUCCUUUAAAUUAAAUUCACCGCCGGUACGGACUGCAAAUAAAUUUUGACAGGGCAAGACUGAUUAAAUUGGACCCUUUUUAUAAGGUCCUAAGCACACGUGGUAAAGAAAAGCAUCCAGAGUGAAGUACAGCCAACUGCAGCCAUCUAGCGCGUGGUGCCAUCGCCCAGUCGGUGCAGAGUGACCAGCAUCUUCUCAGUACAGUCAGUGCUGGUUUUGAAAGGGUAUCGCUGGUGGUACAGUGAUUUGCCCUCUGCAAAUGCCCCCUCUCCACUAUUAUGAGGUCCUAACUAAAUAGGAGGGUCUAAUUAAAGUCAGAUAAAAAGUCUUCCAACUAAUCUGACACAGUAAAAUAACUUCUGCAGAGAUAAGGUUCGCCUGGAAGGCUUUUCUGACAUGGCAUUUUAGACUUCUUUUCAUUGAAAUGGGAUUAUUUUAUCAUUGACUUCAAGGGGAGAAUAUUUAUGUCAAUGCCAAUGGAUUUGCUGAAUGUUACAAUUGUUAUAUUCAAGUGUAAAAUCGAUGAUUUUUAUGGGCAUGCAGUCAGGAGGAGGUCUGGGCCACCUUGAUUUGAUCUGCAAAAAACCACACUCAAAGAUUUCACUGUAAGCUAAAAAAGCUAAAAAAUCAAGCUACAAAAGUAUUAGUGACUUGGGACAAGGGCCGGCACAACUAAAGAGCAGGCCAUCGGGUCAGUCGAAGGGAACAGGAGUGCUCUGGCAUCUAAGUUAAAAACAACGAAACUCCCAUUUUCCUGAAUUCACUUCACUGCAUUGCUGGCUUUAUCCCGCUCUGGCAUAACUCCUGGAAAUCAUUUCAGUAGAAUAACUCGUGUUUAUAGCACUUGACAAUUCAGUCUAGCAAGUUUAUGAGAGUUAUCGCAAAAGGCUUACCUUAGCCCUGAAUUUGCAUAACACUCAAAUAAAUCUUAUUCUUAUUCCUACGGAGUUACUCUUGAAGAGUUGCUAUUACUGGUUAGGCAAAGAAGGAAAAGUACAGUUUUUACAUAGGUCGUCAGAUUAAAAAAAAAAAAUUUCAAAUGCCUCUUGUUUCUUAUGGGAGGCCACAGAUGAUCUGUAUUGAACGCGACAGCGCUGCCAUUAUAAAGCCCUAUUCUCUGCUCCUGCAAUUUUGUGCCAGAAAAUCAGUGCAAGCUCCAAAUUGCCCGAUUUUCUGCUGCAGGAAACGGUAACCUCUCGGCAAGCUCUGCGCGCUUAUUAACGACGAAGCCUGAUGGCGCGUGGCUCUGUCGGUGAUGAGCGACUGUCAGCGACUGCUGCCUGCGGCGCUGGGGCCCUGCCGGCACUGGGCGCAGCCAGCUCCGGCUCCACCAGAUGCGGCCAGGCAAAAUCCUGACCCGUCGGCGAGGCUGCUUUGCUCUGAGGUUUGGGUAUCGCCCUGAUGUUAGCAGUGCCCUUCGGGAAGGACAGUCCGCCUCUGGAGUUAGACUAGCGUGGGCUGAAAAGAUGUUCUGAAGAGUUUCUCUUCUUCUAAGUGGACUAGCCCUGCAAAUGACUUAUUAAUUUGGCAUUGCUUUAGCAAAUUUGUUUUUUCCAGUAUUUCAGUUUCUCGCAUGGAGUUUUGUAUUGGCGGGCGGGAGCAAGCAGUGAAUUGAAGAGUCGCAACCGGGAUCAAGUAGCAUCCUGCUAUUGAAGCCAAUGCAACUGGAGAAUUUAUGAAGGAAUUUGACCUGGUCUCAUAUUACAUAAAUAAAUCUACUACACACUAAUAUAUUAUCAUAAAAAUGCAAGAAAACUUAAGAAAAUAAUAAAAACUCUUCUUACUUUCUCCUCCUUCCUCAGCGGAGACACCUGCGGGAAGUUUUUGGAUGGGAGAACUGUGCCCCUCUGCUGAAUUUUGCAGGAAAGUUAACAGUGUGCUGGCAACAGGACUGCCUGACCCUCUAUUUCUUAGGGAAUAGGGCUUAAAAAGAAAAAUCAAAGCACAUUAAGUGCCAUUUCUCAGAUUAGAGUCUGCAGACUUGGUAUGUAACCAGCUUUCUGCCUUUUUUGAGCUACGUAGCAAAGGUGUGCGACAGCGGAAACAGCAGCUCCUUCGGCAGAGGAGUUCAACCCGGCGGCUGCCAGCAGCCACGCGUCCACAGCUGGAUGCCGAACCUCUGGCGGCUCCUCCGAGGUGCGGGGACGAACGGACCGUGCUUCAGCUAGGGCCGUGCCUUUCGGCUGCCAGCCCAGUGACCUGCAUUUACCGCCGCUGGCGUGCAGCUGACCGCGGGGAGCAAUGUUUUGUGGCCAGACUGAGUUAGAGGCUUUUUAUUUUUGGUAAAUAAAGAGCUUCCUAUUCAUUCAAGGAAAAUGGGCUAGAAAAACACUUCAAAGGUGUCUGCUGGAAUCCACAUGCUGUCUAAAUCACUUUUAAAAUUUAAGAAGUCAGCAAAUUUUAAGUCACUUCUUGCAACUUUGAAAAUUUUACCCCAACCGUGAACUACAGUGAUUUACAGGAACUCGCGGAAAGGAAAGGUCGUUCCGCACCAUCCAAAGCGGCUGUCAGACACGAGUUUUCUGGCCGUUUUUAGGAAGCCGGGCACCAACCUCUAAGAGCAGGGGCAGUGACUAGCCUGCAGUCCACAUGGCAAAUUACACGUUGCCUAAAACCAGCACCGGUCAUCUGGAUUCAUGAAACAUGGCAGCAUUCUCCAAAGGGAGACCAAGAUAACAGGUCUAUAAUCCCUCUGCAGUCUAGCCUGAAAAUUACAGGUACGAAACAGCAUGUCCACACCUCGCACACACGAGGAGGCUGCAGUUUUGCCUUGCUCUCUGCUCUAAAUACAGCCCUCCCCUCCUGCCGGUGCCCUGCUCCUGGCAUGUCCCUUUUCCUACCCACGACGUUCAUCUGCUCAAAAACGCUGGAUUAAAUUUUCUGUUCUGCGCUCUCUGCAAAUACUUGCCUUAGGGCUGCAGGCGCUGCCGAACAUGUGGCCAAAGCAGGCCAUACGGGCCCUUUAUUUACACUGAGAAAUGAAUGCACCACUCGUCAGGCUGUAAUUAAGGCUGAAAAGCAAUACUGCAGUUUUCACUCCUGUCGUCGCUCUGGCUGUUUGUGUCCCAAAGAGGAGGUGCCGCCUGGGUGGCUCAUCUGCCUUCUUGCUCUAUUACUCCUAACCUGCAUUCAGAGCACGUCAGGUCUGCGAAUAGAUACUGGUAGUGAAUAUUUCACGUUACGGCUCAAUAAUAUGAUGAUAUAUAUGCACAGCACCCUGCCUACCAGUCCCUUACUUGCGUACGUGUUAAUAGGAUUGUGUUUAUAGACAUAAGUGAAAAUGCAAGAUCGAAUCGAAACACAAGACCAACUAAGAUAAAAAUAAAAUCACUGCAGUGAGUUUGUGUGUCAGCAUGAAUUUCAAGUGUAAGUGCUUUAAAAAUACUGCUGUCAUUUGCAAGUCCGCACUCUAAACCAGCACACUGCGAAAGCGUACCAGAAAAGCUGGUCUCAACUGUCCAAACAAGCCGAUGCAUUUCCACUUUUUCACUCACACCUUAACUCGAAAACAACAAAAACAAAGAAACGCUUUUUAAGAAGACUUUGAAAAUCCCCCCGGCCCUGCGGAAGGGGACGAGGAGAAGCGCUGCCGCCCUCAGCGCGGCUCAGAAGCUCGGGGCGUCCCCGCUCAGGGAGCAUCGGGGGACCACGUACGGCUCUCCUCAUCUUUAAUUAAGGACUUUGCUUUCACCCCGAGGAUGUGAUGUUGUCCCUGCACCAUGCUCAGAAAACACGGCCGCCCCGCAGCCGCCCCCUCCGUGCCUAAGAAAGAGCAAGGAAACGUUAAGGAGAGGCACUCUGAGCAAGUGCAGCAAUAACAGGUUAUUUCCCAGAGCUGCCAAGAAAUCACCGCUUCUGCCUCUGCGCCGGCUUUAAGGGGCGUUGCAGGUCGUAAGAGCAAAACUUAAAACAUUUAGCAUUGCUUCAGCAGCAGGUAGGCUGCGCUCUCAGCUUUAGCUGUAUCUUUAAAUAUGAGAGAGCGGCCGCAGCCUGAAAAGCUGCAUUUCUUCGACCCGUCCCAGUGCCACAGGUCAGCCAGCAGCUUCCAGGAACGGGCACCGGGGCAGCAGGUUAUGCUCAAGGUAGUUGCACUGCAGCAUCCUGCCGCUUUCAGCACCGCACGCCUUUGGGGGUGCGUUAAGAACAUCGCCUGCCUUAGCUCUGCCCUAUUUUUGCUCUUUUGCAGAGCAAAACUUGCAGAGCAAUAGCAUCCAACUUCACACAAGUCACCCUUAAAAAAAAAAAAAAACCCAAAAGAAAAGAGCAGAAUUAAUCAGCCGUUUUCAGAAGACUCGAGCAAAUAUUAGCAAGCAGCUCUGCUAUUUCGGGGCUUCCGACAGCGCAAGGAUAAAGCCAAGGGAAACAUUUUAAGAUCAACACCUUGCAGCUAUAUUCUGUCCUUGCAUGGCAAAAAGCUUAAAUCAACGCCUUGCAGCAAAGCACGCUGUCGGAGGAGGAGGCAAACGCGGCGUUUCCAUCACUGCGACAGCUCAUCGAGCAUUUAGCGACGGGGAGCAAACGGCCGAGUACAUUUUCACAUCAUUGAGCCGCAAACGAGAAACAGUCCGCGGCAGCCGCACGUUUAAGUGCCUCGGCAGUUACAGGCGUUCGUACGCGCGCGUGCGGCUCUGUCUCCAUGUACUCACGGUGCAGCAGGGCAUGGGCGCUCCGCCGGCCUCGCCGCGGUGCCGUUACAGCCGCAGGCAGCGCGACUGGUGCCUCAUCGCGGGUGCGCGAGCGUCCCUGGCCGGGGGCCAGGCGGGACGAGAUGCGUGGCAAUGCCCCGCGUGACGCUGCCGGGGACGCUCGCUCAGCCGGGAAGGAGGGGACGCGGCGGCUUCUUCCUGCGCAUAUUCGAUGUGGCUGCAGCGCUAAUUAAUUGGGAGCAGGGCAGGGAGUUCGGCAAUUUGCUUGUGCUCCCUCGCUGCCCUGUGUCCCACUUUACUUUUAAAGCUACAUCCAGGCACCCGGAGAAGAAAGGGAAAAAAAAAUCCAGCUGAAUCAGAGCGGGCCGACAGGGCGUUUCGUUGCCGCGGCUGCGCGUGCCGGAGGCUUUCCAGAGAUCGCAGCACGAGUGGCCGUGCAAAUCGGCGGGGCGCCGCGGCAGUUCAGGGGGAAAACUUUAUGGAGAAAGCAGACCACACUCACCCGCUCCCUCUGCUCAUCCAGGUGUUGCGUGACGCACUGCCUGGCCACAGAGCAUGCAAUAAUAGUAGCGUUAAUAAUUUGAUUAUUAAUUAGUAAUAAUUUGAUAACAACAACAAUGCACUUAUCCUCCCGCUCCACAGACAGGGCAUCAGGCAAGCCCUGGCGCGUGGGAGGCCGGUGGCCCUGCAGGGCACACGCAGCCUCGGCCUUUCCUGCAGUGGUUUAGGCAUAUUGUAGCAGGCAGCAUUUGCAUGUUUCUUUUUCUUUUAAUAUAUCCUCUUAAUAUAUCCUCGAGCUCGGUGUUUAAAAAGAACCUACUGGUAUUUUGAGGACAGGUAUUUCAUACCCAACCCUUCGCACCUACUUUGCACGCAAAGGACAACAGGCCAGUGACGCUUUCUGUGGUUUUAUCAUUUCUAGCAGGGAAUGAUUAAAUUGCACACGGAACCGCGGAAAGCAAGGGUAGCAUGGUCCUGUUGCCUCCAGAAACCUGGAUAUAGCACAUGCACUUCCGGGCGAAGGACUGCAACGUGCACCCGAAAAUCGUGCGUCAGUCAGUCCUAGGGGAGGAAAACGCAGUCUGCAGGAAAUAACAGAGAAAAUGGUUUCCAUGUGCAUUGCUUACACUGCGAGGAGCAAGAUACCCUCCCUCGGCACAGGCAGGAGCAGCUUUGCAAGUCUAACAUUGCAGCUUUGGACCCUUAAUGCUAUUGACAGGAAAACUGAACUCUACAGACCGGCCAGAUUUGGUUAAAAGAGGCAGAGGCUGUUUUCGGUCCUGCCGCCUCACCUCAGUUUGACGCUGCAGCGUCGUGCCAAUGCCUUCUGCUUGGCAGCCUUGUUACUAUCCGUAAUCAAGGUAACAUCUUAAAACAUAUAAAUAAUUUAUGUCGCAGCUGCAGCUGCGGUUGGGAAGGCGGCGGCGUUUGGGGGACUGGGACCAGAAAAGGCUCGUGGGGAUCAGCACUGGCCUCUGGGUUCCCCUGGGAUCCUGAGCAUUACCCUGUCCAUCUGUCCCAGCCUCGGCAAAUCCCUCAACUGCAGCGGGGAGGAAAUCUGUAUAAAUAAAUGAAAAACUUUAGCAAACAGCUGUUCCAGCGUAAACACCUUGUCACAUCCUAUUUUAUGCUCGCUGAAACAAACUUUACCCAUGUUUCCUUCACCGCGCUUGGAUUCGUUUGUCAUACAUUAUUUAUACUGCUCCAGCUCAGCGCUUAAUCAUUCAGGAGUCCCUCCACCCUUGCUCUCUUCCUCCUUCCGCUCGCAUGAGGACCAGACAUCACCGUUCCCCAACACAAGCCCUUUGCUGCUGCCAGCACUGAUGCGCAAGGCCCUGGUGAACCCUGCGUUGCUCCACCGCCAGUCCUGGCUGUCACCUGGCUCGACCACGGGAGCCCCACGCACACCGGGGAUGCGCCAGCAUUUCUCUUCCACCUUGGUGAUGCUUUUCUAGCGCUGGUGCCACCUCUGUGGCUCCGUUUGCAUCUCAGCCUGGCCUGCAGGUACCUAGGGAAAUGCCCAAGAAGCAAAGACCUACCACAGCUUUGCUCGGUUUUGCUCCCAGAUCUGGAAGCUUUGCAUGUGCCAAACUCUCUUUUUCAUUAUCAUUUAUCAAACUACAAGCUUUGUGCUUGCUCUUUUCUUUCCCAUUAGCUUUAUGAUUGCUCCUCCAUUCUCUACUCGUUGUUUUUAGAUUUAACACUGCAAUACACCUGCUGCGAGCCAGCACCGUAAAAGCUGUUCCUGAUGGCCAGCGCCACAGGACCUGCACCUGGAUGAGAUCCCUGCUAGCACUACACCCAGGCACUAUUCCCCUUGGCACGUGCACGUGUGCUUUGACUCACCGGCCUGCGCUCGCCAGCGCCGGGUGCGCCCCGAAGGACCCUUCCCUGGCAGGCAGCCCGCGGGGCGCGCUGGCCCCCGCGCCAGCCCUUCAGUGCAGCCAGCUGGAGGAAGAGGCCGAAGUUAAUACCAGCUUCUGCAAAGGAAGUACCAGGUGCCAUUGCUUGCACUUUAUUCCGCUCCUGUUUCCAAACGGCCACACGCGGCUUUUUGCUAGAAAGCUUUCACCUCCUUUUAAUAACGGUGUCCCGCUGCACAUGUCGAAGAGGUGCAAACCCCUCGUCCCCCCUGCUGUCCUGCCAGCCCUGCUCCCUUGCCCACCCUGCAUCACAAGCAGCUUCACCAGCUCGUGCAGCAGAAAAGGAGCUGAAAAAAAAACUUUCCCGCUGAAUAGCAAAGGCCCUAAAGGCUGAAAUUUUACCUGAGUAAAAGAAGCUGGCAGCGCUGCUUGCUCCGAAGGGGCAGCAAGUGGCCCCAGCAGGCUGCGGUGCCGGCAGUGUUUUCACACGGAUCCUGGUUCUGCCUUGUGAAAGCACUUACAACAUAUUGAUCUCCCUGUGUAAUAAAUUGCUGCUAUAGUCAUGUUUUGUCUAGAACCAACUGGCUGCAUUGUGCAGAAAAACACUUCCAAGCGCUUCUCUUAACAGCCUUUAAAGCCAAUGACUUUCAGAGAGGCUUAAGGCUCUGUUUCGGAAAUAACACUCAGCCUUUCUCUAACAGACUUGUAAAGCUUCAGCCUUCCCAGCCCUGCCCAGCCACAGCAUGAUGGAAUAACCUGGCUGGAGGAGGGGAAAAAAAGGAAGAUCCCUCUAGGAGCUGUAAAGUCGAGCACCUGAAUCCCCGCGAUGGGUGGCUCAGCACAGCACUCGUCAGGAAAAGGCACGCGCUUUCCAUGGCUGCCGAGAGAAAGGUCGUAACUCAAAUCUAUAAAUGAGAAGAGAUUGCUGCUGCAAAAAUGCAUGUCUGAUAUGCGUGGACCUGUUUCAGUACCAAAAUCUACCUACAGGAGAGCUAUUGGUCCAUGGCUUCAGUUCCACAUAGCAGCUUAGGUUACCGUCUGCAGAAAGUUGGAAGGGAUACGACUGACUGACAUCCACCUCUAGUUAGAUUCCCUCGUCUGUGAUCCACAGUUUUCCAGGUACUUUGGCAGCUGAUUCUUUCCCUGUUGGUGCAAACAGAAACUCUUUGGAAGAGCAGCUGCCAUGGGAGAUGCGCAUGCUGGGCACUUGGGGAAGCAGAGAAAUCUUUGGAUUUCUCAGUAUUUCAGUCCCCUUGAGCGCAAAACACAUUUGAAGGAGAAAAAUGGAGUGUACUCUUAACUCCUGAUUGAAACGAGCAACGGUCAUCCUCGCUUUAAAUUACUUAUAAAAAAGUCCAAAUGGUGAAAAAUAAUAUGGAAAGAAAUUCUGAAGAAAGCUUUUUUCCAGGCACCAUGGAACUGUUCAGAUGUUUGCUUGGUGGCAUUUUUUAUAAAGGCACUGCUUUCUAAAAUCCCCAAAAGUUCAUUUUCAAACCACCAAGUUGUAACAACAACAGGAGUAACAUGACCAGUUGCUGGCAGCGAGCUGGAAAAAUGAAAAUAUCUACAGUCUCAUUGUGGUGAACACUGCAAACCCUGUUUUGCAGAUAUCUCAGUCAAACCAGGCGGCUCGGACCCAGUCAGCACUGGAGCAGCUCCCCAGGCCAGCGUGGGGACAAGGGACAUGGGAGGGGGGGGAUGAGGGAGGUCACCAGAAGCUGGGAAUCUGGUGAAAACAGGGCCCAUCAGCAGCACAAGCUUCCUCCGGAAAGAGUAACGGUAUCAGGUGCCAUCUGGAGGCUGGAGCCCGAAAUGAACAGGCUGCAUUUUCCUGGAAUGACCCUUUGGGCUGAUUCAUACCUUAACGAGAGCCGGCAGUAGAACAGCCUUUCCCACGAAGCCCGUUUUCCUUCUGGUAGGACAAGCCCAGCGCUGGAAAUGCCAAGUCUGAGAUCUGCCAGAUAAAAAAAAAUCCAAAAAUCUCUUACAGCUUCUUUAAAGUUUCACGUGUGUUUUCUUGACCACCACACACAUCCCACUCACGCCUUCUUCCUUGGCCCCCAGUGCCCCAGCAACCUGCGUACUUUAGGGUACGCGCCAAAGCCCAUCUCUUCUCUUGGGAGUUUUCUUGCAGGUAAUGGGGGAGAUUUGUGGGACCGAGAGAAAAGUCCCUCCCUUCCAAAGCAAGUUUUGACAUGCUUUUACUGAAUGGGGCAUAGGCUAUAAUAUAAAGGGCUGCAAACUAACAGGGAGAUAUUUUCAUUGACAAAAAAAAAAAAAAAAAAAAAGUAGGAAUUUUGGCAUCAUCACGUGACAGUUUUUUACUAAGAAAUGCAGGAGCUCGGUCACCGCCAGCACAGCCCUGCUGGACUACCCAAUGCCUGACAGCACUCGACCAGAAAAAGCAUCCAAGAGCAGCAUCGAGAGAUCUCGCUUCCCCAAAGUCUCCCUGCGGCAGGCUGCACUCCAUUGCCAGGACACCUUGGCAUCAGGUCCUGGACCUGCCACGCAAUCCUCAGUGACACAUCAAUACCCUCGCAAGGAGCCCCAGUGACUGAAAGGCAAACCCAAGUGUCACCUGAGAGGAGGAGAGCCCCCUUCCCUUAUCAACUCCAAAGCCCUUCUAUAAGAAGUGGGUAUUUUGGAGAAUUAAUUUUACUCAAAAGGAACGGAAAAGAAAAACUCUAAGAAAGCAAAGACAGCAAGUGCUCUAGCAUGAUGCUUUUUAAUUGUUAUUUUUAUAUCUUUAAAAACAAAUCAAACCAUUAAAAAUAUUAUAGACAUGUGCUGAAAUUUCCUGUACAACAAAUAUGAAAACAAUAAAAUUUGUACAUCAUUUCAAGAUAUUCAACUAGCAGUCACUUAUUUGAAACACAUCAAUUUUUCCCUUCUUAAGCAGGCCCCAAAUGGGAAAAAGAGUAAAAGAGAAACGCAGGAGAUCUAACUGGAGCACAGCAGAGUUUUGAGCCUGGAAAAUGGGUAACUUCAGGCAAGUGACAGCAAGGGAAAACACUGACCAAAGACAGAAACAGAGCUCAGCAAUCGCAACAUG